rnacentral:pre_miRNA from 1 species
AUUGUACUCCCUCCGAUCCAUAUUACUUGUCGAAAUAUUACAUGUAUCUAGACGCUUUUUAGGCAUAGAUACAUCCAUAUUUGGGCAAAUUUGAGACAAUUAAUAUGGAUUGGAGGUAGUAGAUG